AUACGAAGGGGGCAAGCGUUGUUCGGAAUAACUGGGCGUAAAGCGCACGUAGGCGGAAUGUUAAGUUAGAGGUGAAAUCCCAGGGCUCAACCCUGGAACGGCCUUUAAUACUGGCAACCUAGAGACCGAGAGAGGUGAGUGGAAUUCCGAGUGUAGAGGUGAAAUUCGUAGAUAUUCGGAGGAACACCAGUGGCGAAGGCGGCUCACUGGCUCGGUACUGACGCUGAGGUGCGAAAGCGUGGGGAGCAAACAGGAUUAGAAACCCUAGUAGUCC
rnacentral:rRNA from 1 species